rnacentral:rRNA from 1 species
UUUCCUACGCAACGUUCAUCGGCGUAGGGUGAGUCGGCCCCUAAGGCGAGGCAGAAAUGCGUAGUCGAUGGGAAACAGGUUAAUAUUCCUGUACUUGAUUCAAAUGCGAUGUGGGGACGGAGAAGGUUAGGUUAGCAAGCUGUUGGAAUAGCUUGUUUAAGCCGGUAGGUGGAAGACUUAGGCAAAUCCGGGUCUUCUUAACACCGAGAAGUGACGACGAGUGUCUACGGACAUGAAGUAACCGAUACCACGCUUCCAGGAAAAGCCACUAAGCUUCAGUUUGAAUCGAACCGUACCGCAAACCGACACAGGUGGGCAGGAUGAGAAUUCUAAGGCGCUUGAGAGAACUCGGGAGAAGGAACUCGGCAAAUUGAUACCGUAACUUCGGGAGAAGGUAUGCCCUCUAAGGUGAAGGAUUUACUCCAUAAGCCCCUGAGGGUCGCAGAGAAUCGGUGGCUGCGACUGUUUAUUAAAAACACAGCACUCUGCAAACACGAAAGUGGACGUAUAGGGUGUGACGCCUGCCCGGUGCUGGAAGGUUAAUUGAAGAUGUGAGAGCAUCGGAUCGAAGCCCCAGUAAACGGCGGCCGUAACUAUAACGGUCCUAAGGUAGCGAAAUUCCUUGUCGGGUAAGUUCCGACCCGCACGAAUGGCGUAACGAUGGCCACACUGUCUCCUCCCGAGACUCAGCGAAGUUGAAAUGGUUGUGAAGAUGCAAUCUCCCCGCUGCUAGACGGAAAGACCCCGUGAACCUUUACUGUAGCUUUGCAUUGGACUUUGAAGUCACUUGUGUAGGAUAGGUGGGAGGCUUAGAAGCAGAGACGCCAGUCUCUGUGGAGCCGUCCUUGAAAUACCACCCUGGUGUCUUUGAGGUUCUAACCCAGACCCGUAAUCCGGGUCGGGGACCGUGCAUGGUAGGCAGUUUGACUGGGGCGGUCUCCUCCCAAAGAGUAACGGAGGAGUUCGAAGGUUACCUAGGUCCGGUCGGAAAUCGGACUGAUAGUGCAAUGGCAAAAGGUAGCUUAACUGCGAGACCGACAAGUCGAGCAGGUGCGAAAGCAGGACAUAGUGAUCCGGUGGUUCUGUAUGGAAGGGCCAUCGCUCAACGGAUAAAAGGUACUCCGGGGAUAACAGGCUGAUU